ensembl:lncRNA DPY19L2P2 DPY19L2 pseudogene 2
GCCACCUGUGUGAUGUGGACACCACCUCUCCGUGAAAGUUUUUCCUAUCCUUUCCUUGUACUUCAGAUGUAUGUUUUAACUUUGAUUCUCAGGACCUCAAGCAAUGAUAGAAGGCCCUUCAUUGCACUCUGUCUUUCCAAUGUUGCUUUUAUGCUUCCCUGGCAAUUUGCUCAGUUUAUACUUUUUACACAGAUAGCAUCAUUAUUUCCCAUGUAUGUUGUGGGAUACAUUGAACCAAGCAAAUUUCAGAAGAUCAUUUAUAUGAACAUGAUUUCAGUUACCCUUAGUUUCAUUUUGAUGUUUGGAAAUUCAAUGUACUUAUCUUCUUAUUAUUCUUCAUCUUUGUUAAUGACAUGGGCAAUAAUUCUAAAGAGAAAUGAAAUUCAAAAACUGGGAGUAUCUAAACUCAACUGCUGGCUAAUUCAAGGUAGUGCCUGGUGGUGUGGAACAAUCAUUUUGAAAUUUCUGACAUCUAAAAUCUUAGGCGUUUCAGACCAUAUUUGCCUGAGUGAUCUUAUAGCAGCCGGAAUCUUAAGGUAUACAGAUUUUGAUACUUUAAAAUACACCUGUUCUCCCGAAUUUGACUUCAUGGAAAAAGCGACUCUGCUGAUAUACACAAAGACAUUAUUGCUUCCAGUUGUUAUGGUGAUUACAUGUUUUAUCUUUAAAAAGACUGUUGGUGAUAUUUCGCGUGUUUUAGCUACAAACGUUUAUCUAAGAAAACAGCUCCUUGAACACAGUGAGCUGGCUUUUCACACAUUGCAGUUGUUAGCAUUUACUGCCCUUGCCAUUUUAAUUUUGAGGCUAAAGCUGUUUUUGACACAGCACAUGUGUGUUAUGGCUUCCUUGAUAUGCUCUUGACGGCUCUUUGGCUGGCUUUUUCGCAGAGUUCGCAGAGAGAAUGUUAUCUUUGGCAUUCUAACAGUGAUGUCAAUACAAGGUUAUGCAAACCUCUGUAAUCAAUGGAGCAUAACAGGAGAAUUUAAUGAUUUGCCUCAGGAAGAACUUUUACAGUGGAUCAAAUACAAUACCGUACCAGAUGCUGUCUUUGCAGGUGCCAUGCCUACAAUGGCAAGUGUCAAGCUGUCUACACUUCAUCCCAUUGUGAAUCAUCCACAUUACGAAGAUGCAGACUUGAGGGCUUGGACAAAAAUAGUUUAUUCUACAUAUAGUGGAAAAUCUGCCAAAGAAGUAAGAGAUAAAUUGUUGGAGUUACAUGUGAAUUAUUAUGUUUUAGAAGAGGCAUGGUGUGUUGUGAGAACUAAGCCUGGUUGCAGCAUGCUUGAAAUCUGGGAUGUGGAAGACCCUUCCAAUGCAGCUAACCCUCCCUUAUGUAGCGUCCUCCUUGAGCCGAGAUUGUGCCACUGCACUCCAGCCUGGGCGACAAAUCAAGACCCCGUCUCC